GGAUGGAAACAACAAUGGGACAUGGUGGACCCUGGAUUCAAGCUUUGCGCUCCAGUUCUGAAGAGAGCAGCAGGUAGACCAAGGAAGAGUCGAAUCAGACCUCGCAGCGAAGGAGUUGGACUUGGAAAGAGGAAGCGUAAGUGCACAAGGUGUGGUGGGUCUGGUCAUUUCGGUAAGUAUUGUGAUAACACAGUAGAUCCAGCAUUGGGAGAGAGUUUCGAUGAAGGCUUCGAUGAAAAUGUUGGUCAGCAGCCGGUUGCCUCAACAGAUGAUGAAAAUGAUGGUCAACAGUCGGUUUCAUCAGAUGAGGAUUUUGACGAGGCUCCAAAUGAUGAUCCAAGU
rnacentral:rRNA from 1 species